rnacentral:misc_RNA from 1 species
GAGAAGAACGUAGCAAAAUGCGAUAAGUAAUGUGAAUUGCAGAAUUCAGUGAAUCAUCGAAUCUUUGAACGCACAUUGCGCCCGCCAGUAUUCUGGCGGGCAUGCCUGUUCGAGCGUCAUUUCAACCCUCAAGCUCAGCUUGGUGUUGGGACUCGCGGUAACCCUCGUUCCCCAAAUCGAUUGGCGGUCACGUCGAGCUUCCAUAGCGUAGUAAUCAUACACCUCGUUACUGGUAAUCGUCGCGGCCACGCCGUAAAACCCCAACUUCUGAAUGUUGACCUCGGAUCAGGUAGGAAUACCCGCUGAACUUAAGCAUAUCAAUAAGCGGAGGA